UUAAGUGAAUACAUAGCUUAAUGAGGGGAACUCAGGGAACUGAAACAUCUAAGUACCUGAAGGAAGAGAAAGAAAUUCGAUUCCGUAAGUAGCGGCGAGCGAACGCGGAUUAGCCCAAACCAAUAAAGUUUUCUUUAUUGGGGUUGCGGACAUAUCAUAACGAAGAGGUAUCGUAAUUGAAGAGGUUUGGAAAGACCCACCACAGAAGGUAAUAGUCCUGUAUGUUAAACGAGAAGACUUUAGAUAUGAUCCAGAGUACCACGGGACACGUGAAACCCUGUGGGAAGCAGGAGGGACCACCCUCCAAGGCUAAAUACUACCUAGUGACCGAUAGCGUAUAGUACCGUGAGGGAAAGGUGAAAAGAACCCCGGGAGGGGAGUGAAAUAGAACCUGAAACCCUGCACUUACAAGCUGUGGAAGCACAUUUCUUGUGUGACCGCGUACUUUUUGUAGAACGGGCCAACGAGUUACGUUAAGUAGCAAGGUUAAGCACUUAAGGUGCGGAGCCGUAGCGAAAGCGAGUUUUAACUGAGCGUUCAGUUACUUGACGUAGACCCGAAACCGGGCGACCUACCCAUGAGCAGGAUGAAGCGAAAGUAAAAUUUCGUGGAGGUCCGAACCCACGAGCGUUGAAAAGCUCGGGGAUGACUUGUGGGUAGCGGUGAAAUUCCAAUCGAGCCCGGAGAUAGCUGGUUCUCCCCGAAAUAGCUUUAGGGCUAGCCUCAAGGUGAGAGAUACGGAGGUAGAGCACUGAAUGUCCUAGGGGGUAUUGCACCUACCGAAGACUAUCAAACUCCGAAUGCCGUCAUCUUAUACUUGGGAGUCAGACUGUGGGUGAUAAGAUUCAUAGUCGAAAGGGCAACAGCCCAGAUCGUCAGCUAAGGUCCCUAAAUGUAAGUUAAGUGGUAAAGGAUGUGGGAUUGCACAGACAACCAGGAUGUUGGCUUAGAAGCAGCCACUCAUUCAAAGAGUGCGUAAUAGCUCACUGGUCGAGUGAUCCUGCGCCGAAGAUUUCCGGGGCUAAAACUUACUACCGAAGCUACGGCAUCAGUAAUGAUGGGUAGGGGAGCUUCCCAUACGGGUUGAAGCAUGACCGUAAGGACAUGUGGACAGUAUGGGAGUGAGAAUGUUGGCAUGAGUAGCGAGAUGUGGGUGAGAAUCCCACAGGCCGUAAACCCAAGGUUUCCAGGGGAAGGUUCGUCCGCCCUGGGUUAGUCGGGACCUAAGCUGAGGCCGAAAGGCGUAGGUGAUGGACAACAGGUUGAUAUUCCUGUACUACCGAUAACCGUUUGAGAGAAGGGAUGACACAGUAGGAUAAGCUAAGCACACUGUUGGUUAUGUGUGCCCAAGCAUUGAGGCAGUCAAAGUAGGCAAAUCCGCUUUGAUAAUGCUGGGAUGUGAUGGGGAGCGAAAUUUAGUAGCGAAGUAGCUGAUUUCACACUGUCAAGAAAAGUCUCUAUCGAGGUUAAAGGUACCCGUACCGCAAACCGACACAGGUGGGUGAGGAGAGUAUCCUAAGGCCAGCGAGAGAACUGUUGUUAAGGAACUCGGCAAAAUGACCCCGUAACUUAGGGAUAAGGGGUGCCACCAUCAGGUGGCCGCAGAGAAUAGGCCCAAGCGACUGUUUACCAAAAACAUAGGUUUCUGCUAAGUCGCAAGACGAUGUAUAGGAGCUGACGCCUGCCCGGUGCUGGAAGGUUAAGGGGAUCUGUUAGAGCAAUCGAAGCAGUGAACUUAAGCCCCAGUAAACGGCGGCCGUAACUAUAACGGUCCUAAGGUAGCGAAAUUCCUUGUCGGGUAAGUUCCGACCCGCACGAAAGGCGUAACGAUUUGGGCACUGUCUCAACAACAGACUCGGUGAAAUUGUAAUUCCGGUGAAGAUGCCGGAUACCUGCGACAGGACGGAAAGACCCCAUGGAGCUUUACUGUAGCUUGACAUUGAGUCUCGGUGCUACAUGUACAGGAUAGGUGGGAGACUAUGAAGCAUGGACGUCAGUCUGUGUGGAGUCAUCCUUGGGAUACCACCCUUGUAGUACUGGGAUUCUAACCAGAGGCCAUGAAUCUGGUCUUGG
rnacentral:rRNA from 1 species